rnacentral:rRNA from 1 species
CCUACGGGAGGCAGCAGUGGGGAAUAUUGCACAAUGGGGGAAACCCUGAUGCAGCGACGCCGCGUGAGUGAAGAAGUAAUUCGUUAUGUAAAGCUCUAUCAGCAGGGAAGAAAAUGACGGUACCUGAGUAAGAAGCCCCGGCUAACUACGUGCCAGCAGCCGCGGUAAUACGUAGGGGGCAAGCGUUAUCCGGAUGUACUGGGUGGAAAGGGAGCGUAGACGGCAGUGCAAGUCUGGAGUGAAAGGCGGGGGCUCAACCCGCGGACUGCUCUGGAAACUGUACGGCUGGAGUGCAGGAGAGGUAAGUGGAAUUCCUAGUGUAGCGGUGAAAUGCGUAGAUAUUAGGAGGAACACCAGUGGCGAAGGCGGCUUACUGGACUGUAACUGACGUUGAGGCUCGAAAGCGUGGGGAGCAAACAGGAUUAGAUACCCCAGUAGUC